AUGCAAGUCGAGCGAAGCACUUUGCUUAGAUUCUUCGGAUGAAGAGGAUUGUGACUGAGCGGCGGACGGGUGAGUAACGCGUGGGUAACCUGCCUCAUACAGGGGGAUAACAGUUAGAAAUGACUGCUAAUACCGCAUAAGACCACAGCACCGCAUGGUGCGGGGGUAAAAACUCCGGUGGUAUGAGAUGGACCCGCGUCUGAUUAGCUAGUUGGUAAGGUAACGGCUUACCAAGGCGACGAUCAGUAGCCGACCUGAGAGGGUGACCGGCCACAUUGGGACUGAGACACGGCCCAAACUCCUACGGGAGGCAGCAGUGGGGAAUAUUGCACAAUGGGGGAAACCCUGAUGCAGCGACGCCGCGUGAAGGAUGAAGUAUUUCGGUAUGUAAACUUCUAUCAGCAGGGAAGAAAAUGACGGUACCUGACUAAGAAGCCCCGGCUAACUACGUGCCAGCAGCCGCGGUAAUACGUAGGGGGCAAGCGUUAUCCGGAUUUACUGGGUGUAAAGGGAGCGUAGACGGCAUGGCAAGUCUGAAGUGAAAGCCCGGGGCUCAACCCCGGGACUGCUUUGGAAACUGUCAGGCUAGAGUGCUGGAGAGGUAAGUGGAAUUCCUAGUGUAGCGGUGAAAUGCGUAGAUAUUAGGAGGAACACCAGUGGCGAAGGCGGCUUACUGG
rnacentral:rRNA from 1 species